ensembl:rRNA 5S_rRNA 5S ribosomal RNA
GUCUAUGGCCAUACCACCCUGAAUGAGCCUAUCUCAUCAGCUAAGCAGGGUUGGGCCUGAUUAGCACUUAGAUGGGAAAGAGAGGGAGAGAUAAAGGGAGGGAUGGUGG